AAUACUGCAAGACUUUGAUGUGCGCGCGCGCGUCUUGCUUCCAACACUGGAGCGGAGAGGGUGUUGCUAUGGGAAACGAAGCUACAACACGACACGACACCACCUAAAAGACACAACACGACUUCUCUCAAGCUGCCGUUUUGACUGUUUUCAGGAGUGAGAGAAUAACCUCCUGCUACAAAAAUAUAACUCAAGAUUCCUAAAUUUCUGAAGGGAGCUGAUCACACAGAUACAGGAAAGACAGGAGGUUUAAGUUUAACCUAAGUGCCGUGUUGCUGAUGAACAUCUUUAUAUGCAAAACCGGAGCACCCAGAGAAAACCCACCAAACGCAGAGAGAAUUUGCAAACUACACACAGAAAUGCCUGCUGAUCCAGCUGCGGCUCGAGUCAGCAUCCUUGCUUAUUGGAUGCCUGAUUGCAGUUCAACUCCAAACUCAGUUGGACCAGCUGAUCAGUGUCUU